rnacentral:rRNA from 1 species
UACGUAGGGGGCAAGCGUUGUCCGGAAUCAUUGGGCGUAAAGCGCGUGUAGGCGGCUCGGUAAGUCUGCUGUGAAAGUCCAGGGCUCAACCCUGGGAUGCCGGUGGAUACUGUCGAGCUCGAGUCCGGAAGAGGCGAGUGGAAUUCCUGGUGUAGCGGUGAAAUGCGCAGAUAUCAGGAAGAACACCCGUGGCGAAGGCGGCUCUCUGGUACGUGACUGACGCUGAGACGCGAAAGCGUGGGGAGCGAACAGG